rnacentral:lncRNA from 10 species
GGAACAUCUCACCAAUUUUAAAUCAGCCCCAACCCCAGGCCCUAGAUGAGAAUGCAGUCUCGCCCCUUGGCACUUUCUCCAUCCCAUAAAGCAGAGUGAAAUCCUAUACGUGGGAAAAUGUGGGGCAAUUGGCUAAGGUGGCCUCGUUACCCCACCCAUCCUUCUUGCUUACUUCUGGUGGCUUAUCCUAGAAUCAAGGCCCGAGAUUGUCCAUAACUCAGGUGGACGUCCGAGCCAGGGGUGACCACAGAGAGCCCCAAUCUCCGGCCUUUGCAGCUGUGCUGGGGAAUGCUCCAGGCCAAGGCCCUUGAGCCUGGGAGGGGAGAGCACUGGUUGCAGAUGCGAGCUUGCAGGAAGCUUUGAUGUUCCGAGCAGGAUUGGGAGGCGUGGGAAGUGAGACUUCUGUUCCCUUGAGCUCCCAUGAAGCGAAGCCUUUCCGUUAUCUUAUAACCCGCAGCAUAGCCUAAAGGUGCUGGCUAAAGUCUGCCUUGGCCCAGAAUACAUCAGGCCAGAACCAAAGAAAUCAAAUCAAAGUGGAAAAUUAGACACUGUGCAGGGGAAAGCUCUCCUCUCCAAAAUAUAUAUGCAUCAAACUGUACCCCCGUCUAGCUGGGACAGGAGCCAUCAAAAUGCAAAUGUGGGUUUUGGGAAUGCUAAUGUUGGAAGUGGAGAACAAUACUGAGACAGACUUCUUGGGGCCAGGGAGAGGGCCCCAGGGCAGGAUGUGGGAGCCGAGUUGGGGGCAGGGAUGAAAGGGGCAAAGGAAACUGAGAGAGAGACUGGAGAUGAGAGAACAGCAGGAGUCGAUUGAGGUUGAAAGGCUGCUGGGGCAGGACUAGGAAAGGGGAGCGCUGAGAGACCGGUCAGAGGACCUGACCGCUGACCGCUGACCCGAGGCUGCGUGCCCAGGAAAGAGGAGGGGGAGUUCAGGGAAACUUCUCUGAGUGGCAGCCCAGCGGGGAGGAGAGUCAGGACGUGCCUGGACUCUCAGGCCUGGGCUUAAGGUCAAGGCCUGGAGAAACAGACAGAAAGAUGUGUGUUUCCGUAAGAGCAGGGAAGCCAGGAGGUGUGCUCCGCUUUUGUGCUACUGGCAUGUGAGCGAGAGGCCUUGAAGGAAGGGCUUGAGACCCGGGAGCCAGACUGAAGCCAGGGUUGGGUUCAAGGGGGUCUCACUGAGAGCCGCUUCCCUGGGUUUAAUUUUGCUCUUCCUGGGAGGACUGAAUACGUCAAAGCAGAGCCUGGCACGGCGUCAAUGCUUUAUGGAUGUUUGUUGUUAUCUUUGUAGAUGAAGAAACUGGGGCUCUGAAUGGCAUAUUAACGCGUGCAGCUCCAGACAGCGAGGAAGUGAUGGCAACUCUAUCCGAACUCAAAUCUGCCAGACCUAUACCAGUAGGUGCCUGUGUGCAGUUGGGGACUCACCUCUGCCAGUGCUGGCAUGAGCUAGCUGUCUUGAACUGAAAACAGACACUCAAAGAUGGGCUGUGGGAUCCCAGAGAGGUGGCAGAAUGGUCAAAGCUAUGAAGCCAACAGCUGCUGCCAACAAGAAAGUCCUGAGCCCUGAGUGAUUGUAAUUUAAACUUAAUGCUGGGAGUGGGUGUUUAUUUUGGAGGAGUGGGCUGCUUAUUUUUGGUUUGGGGACUUGUUCAUUCAUCUUUUCUCAGCGGCGCCUACUGCUGCCCUGGCCCGAAGUUAAAGCUCAAUAAAUCACUGUUGCACAACUGAGUGCCCACGCCUAGAUUGUAAGUUCCUGGAAGGCAAGGAUUUGUGUCCCACACUUGUUUUGUACCCUCCAGGAUCUUGCACAGCACUUGGCGAAUGGGUAUUGAAUGAAUUCAUUCACUGAAGCGUCUCUCUGGUGCCAGGCCCAGUGCUAAGUGAUGGGAAUACACAGAUGAAUACGAUAUGGUCCCUGCUCUUGGGUAACUCAUUAUUCUGGUAAAUGAAUAAAGGAAAG